AAAAUCUAUCCCCUGACUAUUAAACUUCUAAAUUUUUUCCCCAUUAAGUUUAUUGAUACACUUUAGGUAUAAAAUACAUUUUCAUACAUCAUUGGCAUCUUGUACCAUUACAUGAGUAUCUUGGUUUUUAUUUUUUUCCCCUUCCUCUGCCCUCACUUCACACCCUCCACCCUUCCCUACUUGCAAAGAUUUUGUUUUCAUUUUUUUCCUUUGCUCAUAUUUUUUCUUUUCCCUUCUUCCCUUUCCCCUACCCCUCCCACUUCCCCUACUCCUUUAGACCGUCACUUCAUAUUGCACAAUAUCAAUUAUAAAUUUUUAAAAUUAACAUAUCAAGACCUAGGAGACAUUACCACAGAUUUUACAGAAUUUAAAAGGAUAUAGAAAGCAUAUUACAAAAAUCUGUUUUGAAAUAAAUUUGACAACUUCUAAGAAGUACAUUGGAAGACAAAUCAAUGAAACUAACUCUGGAGGAAAUAUAAAAUUUGAGUAGCACCUAUUAAAGAAAGUAUGUUCCUAGCUUAAAAACCUACCUAUGUGACAACAACAGUCUUGUAUACAUUUUAACUGAUAAAUUAUAUCAAACAAUUAAAGCAGAAAAAAGAAAGAACACUUCUCCCCUCAUUUUAGGAACUCAACAUUGUGCUAAUCCUAAAACUGGAUAAAGAUAAUAGAAGAAAAAGUAUGAACAUAGAUAGAAAUUUGUUUAACAAAGCAAACUAUUGGAAGGCAGAUCUGGCAGUGUGUAGAAAGUGGUUUUGUUAUGGGGUGGCAGUGUUGGUUCAGCACUGGAAGAUCCACCCCCAAAAGUCAUCAUUUUAACAGAGAAAAGGAAAAAGCCAUAUGAUCCUGUCAGUAGUUGGAGAAAAAGUAUUGGACUAAAUUCCACAGCUGUUUAUGGUAAAAGCUAUGAGGAGACCAGAAGUAGAACAGAACCUUCUCAACAGAUUAAAGACAUGUACUCCAUACUUCCAGCGAGAAUGCCUUAUAUAAAUGGAGAAGAUACAAUGCUUUCUCCUUAAGGUGGGGCACAAGAGAAGAUAUGCUUACUCUUCAUCUGAAUAUUAAACUUUGAAACAUAGCCAAAACCAAAAUAGUCUGGCAAUAAAAU
rnacentral:lncRNA from 1 species